UGAACGCUAGCUACAGGCUUAACACAUGCAAGUCGAGGGGCAGCAUGGUCUUAGCUUGCUAAGGCCGAUGGCGACCGGCGCACGGGUGAGUAACACGUAUCCAACCUGCCGUCUACUCUUGGACAGCCUUCUGAAAGGAAGAUUAAUACAAGAUGGCAUCAUGAGUCCGCAUGUUCACAUGAUUAAAGGUAUUCCGGUAGACGAUGGGGAUGCGUUCCAUUAGAUAGUAGGCGGGGUAACGGCCCACCUAGUCUUCGAUGGAUAGGGGUUCUGAGAGGAAGGUCCCCCACAUUGGAACUGAGACACGGUCCAAACUCCUACGGGAGGCAGCAGUGAGGAAUAUUGGUCAAUGGGCGAGAGCCUGAACCAGCCAAGUAGCGUGAAGGAUGACUGCCCUAUGGGUUGUAAACUUCUUUUAUAAAGGAAUAAAGUCGGGUAUGCAUACCCGUUUGCAUGUACUUUAUGAAUAAGGAUCGGCUAACUCCGUGCCAGCAGCCGCGGUAAUACGGAGGAUCCGAGCGUUAUCCGGAUUUAUUGGGUUUAAAGGGAGCGUAGAUGGAUGUUUAAGUCAGUUGUGAAAGUUUGCGGCUCAACCGUAAAAUUGCAGUUGAUACUGGAUAUCUUGAGUGCAGUUGAGGCAGGCGGAAUUCGUGGUGUAGCGGUGAAAUGCUUAGAUAUCACGAAGAACUCCGAUUGCGAAGGCAGCCUGCUAAGCUGCAACUGACAUUGAGGCUCGAAAGUGUGGGUAUCAAACAGGAUUAGAUACCCUGGUAGUCCACACGGUAAACGAUGAAUACUCGCUGUUUGCGAUAUACAGCAAGCGGCCAAGCGAAAGCGUUAAGUAUUCCACCUGGGGAGUACGCCGGCAACGGUGAAACUCAAAGGAAUUGACGGGGGCCCGCACAAGCGGAGGAACAUGUGGUUUAAUUCGAUGAUACGCGAGGAACCUUACCCGGGCUUAAAUUGCAGAUGAAUUACGGUGAAAGCCGUAAGCCGCAAGGCAUCUGUGAAGGUGCUGCAUGGUUGUCGUCAGCUCGUGCCGUGAGGUGUCGGCUUAAGUGCCAUAACGAGCGCAACCCUUGUUGUCAGUUACUAACAGGUUCCGCUGAGGACUCUGACAAGACUGCCAUCGUAAGAUGUGAGGAAGGUGGGGAUGACGUCAAAUCAGCACGGCCCUUACGUCCGGGGCUACACACGUGUUACAAUGGGGGGUACAGAGGGCCGCUACCACGCGAGUGGAUGCCAAUCCCCAAAACCUCUCUCAGUUCGGACUGGAGUCUGCAACCCGACUCCACGAAGCUGGAUUCGCUAGUAAUCGCGCAUCAGCCACGGCGCGGUGAAUACGUUCCCGGGCCUUGUACACACCGCCC
rnacentral:rRNA from 1 species